GGGGAUUUAGCUCAGUGGUAGAGUGCUUGCCUAGCAAGUGCAAGACCCUGGGUUCAAUCCCCAGCUCCG
rnacentral:tRNA from 1 species